GAUCGGAUCAAGCGCGAAAAGGGCGUUUGGUGGAUGCCUAGGCAGUAAGAGGCGAUGAAGGACGUGAUACUCUGCGAUAAGCCUUGGGGAGCUGAGAAUACGCUUUGAUCCAAGGAUUUCCGAAUGGGGGAACCCACCUGACACUUCGUUAUUGUUUGCCGUUCGCGGCAAAGGAUAGCGAUGGUGAACCAGGUACUUCUAACCUGAAUACAUAGGGUUAAAAGAGCAAACCCGGGGAACUGAAACAUCUAAGUACCCGGAGGAAAGGACAUCAACAGAUACUCCGUUAGUAGCGGCGAGCGAACGCGGACCAGCCGAGCAAUGAUCGUGAGCAGAACCGGAUGGAAAGCCGGGCGAUAUGGGUGACAGCCCCGUAUGCGAAGCGAGAUUUGACGUAUUAAGUAGGGCGGGACACGUGAAAUCCUGUCUGAACAUCGGAGGACCACCUUCGAAGGCUAAGUACUCCUUACUGACCGAUAGCGAACCAGUACCGUGAGGGAAAGGUGAAAAGCACCCCGACGAGGGGAGUGAAACAGAUCCUGAAACCGGACGCCUACAAACAGUUGGAGCCUCCUUGAGGGGUGACAGCGUACCUUUUGUAUAAUGGGUCAACGACUUGGUCUUGCGUGCAAGCUUAAGCCGAUAGGUGUAGGCGCAGCGAAAGCGAGUCUUAAUAGGGCGAAUGAGUACGUAGGAUCAGACCCGAAACCGAGUGAUCUAGGCAUGACCAGGAUGAAGGUGCGGUAACACGCACUGGAGGUCCGAACCCACACCUGUUGAAAAAGGUCGGGAUGAGUUGUGCCUAGGGGUGAAAGGCCAAUCAAACUCGGAGAUAGCUGGUUCUCCGCGAAAUCUAUUUAGGUAGAGCGUCAGACGAAUACCGCCGGGGGUAGAGCACUGGAUGGGUAAUGGGGACCUACAGUCUUACUGAUCCUAACCAAACUCCGAAUACCGGCGAGUACUAUCUGGCAGACACACUGCGGAUGCUAACGUCCGUAGUGGAGAGGGAAACAACCCUGACCUACAGCUAAGGCCCCUAAUUCAUGGCUAAGUGGGAAAGCAGGUGAGACGACCAAAACAACCAGGAUGUUGGCUUAGAAGCAGCCAUCAUUUAAAGAAAGCGUAACAGCUCACUGGUCUAGACAAGUUGUCUUGCGGCGAAGAUGUACCGGGGCUCAAGCCAUGAGCCGAAGCUUAGGAUGCACUUUAUGUGCGUGGUAGCGGAGCGUUCUGUAUGCAGCGAAGGAUGUGGGUGACCUAUUCUGGAGCGUACAGAAGUGAGAAUGUUGACAUGAGUAGCGAUAAACAGGGUGAGAGACCCUGUCGCCGAAAGUCCAAGGGUUCCUGCUUAAAGCUAAUCUGAGCAGGGUAAGCCGGCCCCUAAGGCGAGGCCGAAAGGCGUAGUCGAUGGGAACCAGGUUAAUAUUCCUGGGCCAGGAGGACGUGACGGAUCCUUACUGUUGUCAGACCUUAUCGGAUUGGUCUGGCAGCUGCGGGGUCCCUGGAAAUAGCCCUCCACUGGACCGUACCCGAAACCGACACAGGUGGACUGGUAGAGCAUACCAAGGCGCUUGAGAGAACUGCAUUGAAGGAACUCGGCAAAAUACCUCCGUAAGUUCGCGAGAAGGAGGCCCGGUUGGCAGGCAACUGUUGAUCGGGGGCACAAACCAGGGGGUGGCGACUGUUUACUAAAAACACAGGGCUCUGCGAAGUGGCAACACGACGUAUAGGGUCUGACGCCUGCCCGGUGCCGGAAGGUUAAAAGGAGGUGUGCAAGCACCGAAUUGAAGCCCCGGUAAACGGCGGCCGUAACUAUAACGGUCCUAAGGUAGCGAAAUUCCUUGUCGGGUAAGUUCCGACCUGCACGAAUGGCGUAACGACUUCCCCGCUGUCUCCAAUGCAGACUCAGCGAAAUUGAAUUCCCCGUGAAGAUGCGGGGUUCCCGCGGUCAGACGGAAAGACCCCGUGCACCUUUACUACAGCUUCACACUGGCAUUAGGCGCGUAAUGUGCAGGAUAGGUGGUAGGCUUUGAACCCGGGACGCCAGUCUCGGUGGAGCCUCCCUUGAGAUACCACCCUUUAUUCGCUUGAUGUCUAACCGCGGUCCGUUAUCCGGAUCCGGGACCCUGUGUGGCGGGUAGUUUGACUGGGGCGGUCGCCUCCUAAAGAGUAACGGAGGCGCGCGAUGGUGGGCUCAGAGCGGUCGGAAAUCGCUCGUUGAGUGCAAUGGCAGAAGCCCGCCUGACUGCGAGACUGACAAGUCGAGCAGAGACGAAAGUCGGUCAUAGUGAUCCGGUGGUCCCGAGUGGAAGGGCCAUCGCUCAACGGAUAAAAGGUACGCCGGGGAUAACAGGCUGAUACUGCCCAAGAGUCCAUAUCGACGGCAGUGUUUGGCACCUCGAUGUCGGCUCAUCACAUCCUGGGGCUGGAGCAGGUCCCAAGGGUUCGGCUGUUCGCCGAUUAAAGUGGUACGUGAGCUGGGUUUAGAACGUCGUGAGACAGUUCGGUCCCUAUCUGCCGUGGGUGUAGGAGACUUGAGAGGAGCUGCCCCUAGUACGAGAGGACCGGGGUGGACGCACCACUGGUGGACCAGUUGUCGUGCCAACGGCAGUGCUGGGUAGCUAUGUGCGGACAGGAUAACCGCUGAAGGCAUCUAAGCGGGAAGCCCCCCUCGAAACAAGGUCUCCCUGAGGGCCGUGGAAGACCACCACGUCGAUAGGCCGGAGAUGUAAGCGCAGUGAUGCGUUCAGUUGACCGGUACUAAUCGCCCGAUAGGCUUGAUACGAUCCAGU
rnacentral:rRNA from 1 species